rnacentral:rRNA from 1 species
GGGGGCGAGUUGAGUGGCGCACGGGUGAGUAACACGUAGGUAAUCUACCUUUGGGUGGGGAAUAACAGCCGGAAACGGCUGCUAAUACCGCAUAAUGCAGCGGCAUCACAUGAUGACAGUUGUUAAAGCGGGGGAUCGAAAGACCUCGCGCCAGAAGAGGAGCCUGCGGCAGAUUAGCUAGUUGGUGAGGUAAAGGCUCACCAAGGCAACGAUCUGUAGCCGGCCUGAGAGGGCGGUCGGCCACACUGACACUGACAUACGGGUCAGACUCCUACGGGAGGCAGCAGUCGGGAAUUUUGGGCAAUGGGCGAAAGCCUGACCCAGCAACGCCGCGUGAAGGAUGAAAUCUCUCGGGAUGUAAACUUCGCAAGAAUAGGAAGAAUAAGCACAGGAUAAUACCCUGUGUGAUGACGGUACUAUUUGUAAGCUCCGGCUAACUCCGUGCCAGCAGCCGCGGUAAUACGGGGGGAGCAAGCGUUGUUCGGAUUUACUGGGCGUAAAGGGCGCGUAGGCGGCGCAACAAGUCACUUGUGAAAUCUCCGGGCUUAACUCGGAACGGUCAAGUGAUACUGUUGUGCUAGAGUGCGGAAGGGGCAACUGGAAUUCUCGGUGUAGCGGUGAAAUGCGUAGAUAUCGAGGGGAACACCUGCGGCG